AACGAACGCUGGCGGCAUGCCUAACACAUGCAAGUCGAACGGGAUCCAGGCUUCGGCCUGGUGAGAGUGGCGGACGGGUGAGUAACACGUGGGAACCUGCCUUUUGGUUCGGGAUAACCGCGGGAAACUGCGGCUAAUACCGGAUGCUCCCGAGAGGGGAAAGAUUUAUCGCCAGAAGAGGGGCCCGCGUCCGAUUAGGUAGUUGGUGAGGUAAUGGCUCACCAAGCCGACGAUCGGUAGCUGGUCUGAGAGGAUGAUCAGCCACACGUGGGACUGAGAUACGGCCCAGACUCCGUACGGGAGGCAGCAGGU
rnacentral:rRNA from 1 species